AACGAACGCUGGCGACAGGCCUAACACAUGCAAGUCGAGCGCCCCGCAAGGGGAGCGGCGGACGGGUGAGUAACGCGUGGGAACGUGCCCUUUGCUACGGAAUAGCCCCGGGAAACUGGGAGUAAUACCGUAUAAGCCCUACGGGGGAAAGAUUUAUCGGCAAAGGAUCGGCCCGCGUUGGAGUAGGUAGUUGGUGGGGUAAUGGCCUACCAGGCCGACGAUCCAUAGCUGGUUUGAGAGGAUGAUCAGCCACACUGGGACUGAGACACGGCCCAGACUCCUACGGGAGGCAGCAGUGGGGAAUCUUAGACAAUGGGCGCAAGCCUGAUCUAGCCAUGCCGCGUGAGCGAUGAAGGCCUUAGGGUUGUAAAGCUCUUUCGUGGGGGAAGAUAAUGACUGUACCCCAAGAAGAAGCCCCGGCUAACUCCGUGCCAGCCGCCGCAGUAACAC
rnacentral:rRNA from 1 species